rnacentral:rRNA from 1 species
AUGGCUCAGGAUGAACGCUAGCGGCAGGCUUAACACAUGCAAGUCGAGGGGCAGCGGGAUGUAGCAAUACAUUGCCGGCGACCGGCGGAUGGGUGCGUAACGCGUAUGCAACCUACCUUAUACAGGGGAAUAACCUUUCGAAAGGGAGACUAACACCCCAUGGUAUUGAUUUAAGGCAUCUUAGAUUAAUUAAAUAUUUAUAGGUAUAAGAUGGGCAUGCGUAUGAUUAGCUAGUUGGUAAGGUAACGGCUUACCAAGGCGACGAUCAUUAGGGGUUCUGAGAGGAAGGUCCCCCCACACUGGUACUGAGACACGGACCAGACUCCUACGGGAGGCAGCAGUGAGGAAUAUUGGUCAAUGGGCGCAAGCCUGAACCAGCCAUGCCGCGUGCAGGGAAAGACGGCCUUAUGGGUUGUAAACUACUUUUACAUAAGACUAACCGUAUAUUUGCGAAUAUACCUGAAUGUAUUAUGAGAAUAAGGAUCGGCUAACUCCGUGCCAGCAGCAGC